ensembl:lncRNA
AAAGAUAAAUAAGGUCCAUGUUUAUUCUUCAAUAUAAUACACAUACAUGAUUGUUAUACAUCCUUAUAAAGCAAAGAAAAACAGCCAAAUGAAAUUAUGUUCAGAAAUUUAAAAUAUACAUGAUAGACACAAUCAUGUUAUGAAUCCUUUUUUUAAAUUUCUUAUCAACACCAAUAAACCUAGUCAGAAAGACUCAAUGACAUCCAUCAGCUGAGACGACAGCAAAACACACAUUAGGUAACAGAUGAACGCCCACACAGCAGAUGCUUUCUGCUCUUCUGAAUGGGCAGCAGUGGUUGAGUUAUAAGCCUUCAUGGAAGGUGAAACUGCCCAUAGAAAGACCACUUAUACAAAGCACAGCCCACUAAAAUGGCGCAAAAAGAAAUAUAGAACGCUUCUAAUUGAGAAACUGCAGACUCCAAGCUAUGUAAGGAAGUCAUCUUACUCUAGGAACCCAACAUCUAAUAAACCCAGCACCCACUUCCCUUUAGGACAGAUGGAAAGUUGCCUCCCGGUAAGAAAAUUUCUUAAUCUCAAAAAGACUUUCAGGGAGCACGGUGACGGAUAAGAAGACAAACUUGGAUUCUAACUUAAGAAAAAGGAAAGAAGUAAAAAAAUGUGAAAGAGAGUGCAGAAGCAAAGGCAAAGCUUUGCGGGCAUUGAGAAGUGGGCCGUGGUGAUGCCGCAGUGCGCAGGGAUGACAGGAAGGCCAGGGGACAGGAGGGAACCGAGUCCGAGGACCACAGCCCUCCGGGGGCCUGAUGCUGCCUCUCACUUGUGCUUUUACAAGUGGAUUUUCAACCAGGGUUCUGUCAUUUGGUCCCCAGCACACACUAACCCAGCACACGCAUGCGCACUGGCACCCCGUGCUGGGUGGCUGGGGGAGGGGCAGAGGAAGCAGAAGGGACAAAAAAGGAAUGAAAUAACGAGCAAAUUGUGUUCCUAGUAUCAAAUCCAUAUUUUGAUUCUUAAAAGAGAAAAAAAUUGCUAAGCUAAUUUCCACAAAAUGGAUAAAAAUUAAGUAUUCACACAUCUUUCCAAACAUACAUCAAAGCAAGCCACAACAAUGGCCACAUGCCUACUUACAUUUUUGAGGAAAGAAAGCAAAUUAACAUCGAGUUAGACAAAAUAACUGAAAAUAAACUUAUGGCACUCAACAGACAUAAGUAUUACCAGCUUCAACCUAGAAACUGUUUCCCCAAGUUAGUUCAGGUGAGUCUCUUCCAAAGUUUCUAAUGUAACAAAUGGGGACAUGUGCCCUCCUCCCCGUGAUUUUUAAAUAGCAACAGAUUCUGGGUAAGUGUUGGUGUCUUCCAAAUUACCAAUGUGGCAUGCCUUCUCCUUAAUAAUUUGCAAGGUUUAUUUCUCUACAGGCAGUGGGAAGUGCCACAUCGCUGCUUAAUUUCCUCCAUUUGCUAAAGAAAGUGGGAACUGCCUAGUGAGUGAGCAAAGCCAUAGCAUCCAUUAAGAGGGUGGAGGAGAAAUACAGCCUCCCAAAUCCUAAUGACCUGCUGGAAAAAUUGAUCUCCAUAACCCUGGUCUAGUCAGACUCAGCUUUUCUACGUCCAUGCUCGCAUCUGGCUUGAUUCCUCGGCUUUGCAAAGCCCCCUUUUCCCAUUAGAGCAGCAGUCUACCUAGUUACCAGCUCUCGCUGGAGCAGCCACACAAGGACAUGGAGCAGGGGCGGGAUGAACACUAGACUGAUAAUCUCCCAUUUCAAGUAACUCUAGACUGUAAUCAUCAACUCUGCAAUGCAAACUACCCUCAGCACUCAUUUAAAAGGCACCCUGCUGGCAUGGAGAUGCCGUCCCAUUCCAAAUGUGGAAAUUUAACUACAGAAUCAAACAAGAUCCAUUUUCAAAGUUGAGUCUCCUUUCUAAACCUCAAAACAAAACAAAAAUCACACCCACUCACUGCAGGGUCAUCCGUGGAUUAACUUGGCAAAGAAAUCAUGCCUGUAUUUGGCCUGAGCUGUCUCUUCCGUGUGUGGCAGGGUCUGGGGACAGUUUAUCUGCCAACGUGAGUCAGAGGGAAGGUGGAUGCAAAUUGCAUGUCGUGCAAAAGAUCUCAUGCUCGAUUUGGUAGAGAAUGCACACCACAGGACAGAAAACGCCCUGCCACGAGGGGCUUCAAAUCAGACCCUCGUGUCCUGUUUAGCACUUGAGUGAAUGCCAGCUCUCUGUGGUCUAACUAAGUAUUAAUGCAUGCACUGGCUUGUAUUUUUCCAGCCUCAGUGAAUAGCAUCAGCUAAAGAUAGCAUAGUAAUAUAACACUCCAGUCAUAGGGUUUUUUUGUGUGUGUGUGUGUAUGUGUGUGUGUGUUUUAAGGAAACUAAAUUAAACAUUUGAAGCAUAGUCACAUAACAGGAACAUAAGAAACCAAACUUGGAUGAAUGCAAGGCCAAAGGAGAAAAAGAAAUGCAUCAUAAGAGCAAAGGCUAGAAAGGAGUCAGUUUUAUAACUAGCACGACCACAAAAUUUGCAUGUGGCCUUCACCAAAUCACACAUUUCCUGCUCUCUCUACUUCCUCCUUACCUUAAAGAUGAGAGUAAGGAUGUUGCAUACAUUCAUGGCAUGUGGUAAGGAAGGAUUCCUUAGGUGGAUCUGAGACAUAAUGGGGGAAAGCUGAUGCAAAGUGAAAUGGCCAUCCCUGAAGAGGCUACCAAGUAAUUCUUAUACCUUUCAUUGCUAUUGUGACAACAGGAGCUUAGAAGGACAGAUGGAUAAAAACAAAGGCAUUGGCUGGGCGCAGUGGCUCACACCUGUAAUCCCAGCACUUUGGGAGGCCGAGGCGGGCGGAUCACAAGGUCAAGAGAUUGAGACCAU